rnacentral:tRNA from 2 species
GCGCCCAUAACUCAGCGGACAGAGUAUCUGCCUUCUAAGCAGAGAGUCACAGGUUCAAAUCCUGUUGGGCGUACCA